rnacentral:rRNA from 1 species
CCUACGGGGGGCAGCAGUGAGGAAUAUUGGUCAAUGGACGCGAGCCUGAACCAGCCAAGCCGCGUGCGGGAUGACGGCUCUAUGGGUUGUAAACUUCUUUUAUACGAGGAUAAAGCGCGGGACGCGUCUCGCUUUGCAUGUAUCGUACGAAUAAGGAUCGGCUAACUCCGUGCCAGCAGCCGCGGUAAUACGGAGGAUCCGAGCGUUAUCCGGAUUUAUUGGGUUUAAAGGGUGCGUAGGCGGUCUGAUAAGUUAGCGGUGAAAGGUCGGGGCUCAACCAAAAAAUUGCCGCUGAUACUGGUGGGCUUGAGAAUAGUUGAGGCAGGCGGAAUGCGUGGUGUAGCGGUGAAAUGCAUAGAUAUCACACAGAACCCCGAUUGCGAAGGCAGCCUGCCAAGCUAUAACUGACGCUGAUGCACGAAAGCGUGGGUAGCGAACAGGAUUAGAUACCCGAGUAGUC